UCCACUCUGAUCAUGAUGUUUGAGAAUGCAAAUCUUUGAUAGAUAGUGACCAUGAUGCAUUCAAUGACUAAAGAAUACAAAGCCAAUAUUGUGUCUGAACAAGUUAGAGACAUGUUGAAAGAUGAGCUGCCCUGGUCAAGGCUGGGAUCCACCAAGUCCCUUAUUAAACUAGACUACCUCUCAAAGAAAGCAAUUUUGUUUGCCCAAGUGC
rnacentral:lncRNA from 1 species